rnacentral:rRNA from 1 species
AGUGACUUGCGUAUCGAGAGCCAUGUGGUGCUUGCUCUACAAUAGGCGGCGGAAACGUACCUAGUGGGUUUGUCCCAGGACACCAAUUUGUGUGUUGUCCAUGCCAAACAUGUGACCAUCAUGUCCAAAGAUAUUCAGCUGGCUAGGCGGCUCUAUGAUGAAAGAAUGUAA